UCGAGGGGCAGCGGUGGUGAAGGCUUGCCUUUACCAGCCGGCGACCGGCGCACGGGUGAGUAACACGUAUGCAACCUGCCUGCCACAGCCGGAUAAUCGGGAGAAAUCCCGUCUAAUACGGCAUAAUGCACCUAUGGGACAUCCUGUUGGUGCCAAAGGUUAAUUCCGGUGGCGGAUGGGCAUGCGUCGCAUUAGUUAGUUGGCGGUGUAACGGACCACCAAGACGACGAUGCGUAGGGGUUCUGAGAGGAAGGUCCCCCACACUGGUACUGAGACACGGACCAGACUCCUACGGGAGGCAGCAGUGAGGAAUAUUGGUCAAUGGGCGGGAGCCUGAACCAGCCAAGUCGCGUGAGGGAUGACGGCCCUAUGGGUUGUAAACCUCUUUUGCCGGGGAGCAAAGUGCCGCACGUGUGCGGUUUGGAGAGUACCCGGAGAAAAAGCAUCGGCUAACUCCGUGCCAGCAGCCGCGGUAAUACGGAGGAUGCGAGCGUUAUCCGGAUUUAUUGGGUUUAAAGGGUGCGUAGGCGGACGCUUAAGUCAGCGGUAAAAUUGCGGGGCUCAACCUCGUCGAGCCGUUGAAACUGGGUGCCUUGAGUGGGCGAGAAGUACGCGGAAUGCGUGGUGUAGCGGUGAAAUGCAUAGAUAUCACGCAGAACUCCGAUUGCGAAGGCAGCGUACCGGCGCCCAACUGACGCUGAAGCACGAAGGCGUGGGUAUCGAACAGGAUUAGAUACCCUGGUAGUCCACGCAGUAAACGAUGAAUGCUAGUUGUCCG
rnacentral:rRNA from 1 species